CGCGGGGUGGAGCAGUUGGCAGCUCGUCGGGCUCAUAACCCGAAGGUCGGAGGUUCAAGUCCUUCCCCCGCAACCA
rnacentral:tRNA from 2 species